rnacentral:piRNA from 1 species
UUCAGUAGGCCAUGCAUCUUGUCUCU